UGGGGAAUAUUGGACAAUGGGGGCAACCCUGAUCCAGCCAUGCCGCGUGAGUGAAGAAGGCCUUCGGGUUGUAAAACUCUUUCGCCCGCGAAGAUGAUGACGGUAGCGGGAGAAGAAGCCCCGGCUAACUCCGUGCCAGCAGCCGCGGUAAUACGGAGGGGGCUAGCGUUGUUCGGAAUUACUGGGCGUAAAGGGCGCGUAGGCGGCCGCAGCAGUCAGGCGUGAAAGCCCCGGGCUCAACCUGGGAACUGCGCUUGAGACGCUGUGGCUGGAGGUCGGGAGAGGAGAGCGGAAUUCCCAGUGUAGAGGUGAAAUUCGUAGAUAUUGGGAAGAACACCGGUGGCGAAGGCGGCUCUCUGGCCCGUACCUGACGCUGAGGCGCGAAAGCGUGGGGAGCAAACAGG
rnacentral:rRNA from 1 species